CAGUCGCCACGGUAAUACGUAGGUGGCAAGCGUUGUCCGGAAUUAUUGGGCGUAAAGCGCGCGCAGGCGGUUUCUUAAGUCUGAUGUGAAAGCCCCCGGCUUAACCGGGGAGGGUCAUUGGAAACUGGGAGACUUAGAGUGCAGAAGAGGAGAGUGGAAUUCCAUGUGUAGCGGUGAAAUGCGUAGAUAUAUGGAGGAACACCAGUGGCGAAGGCGACUCUCUGGUCUGUAACUGACGCUGAGGCGCGAAAGCGUGGGGAGCAAACAGGAUUAGAUACCCCCGUAGUCCCUGUCUCUUAUU
rnacentral:rRNA from 1 species